UCUUCCCGCGGCGCGCAGGGUCAGGAGAGCGCUUCCGGCGGGCGGCGGAGGAGGGAAGGCCUUAGGGCGGUGCUGCGGCGCCCCCGUGCGGGCGAGCGCUAGGGCGGCGCCUCCGCAGGCCCGGGCGAGCGUCACCAUCACAAAACUCAGCGCUGGGAGGCGAGUUCCGCGCAGCCCAGCGGUUUCCCCAAGGAAGGUCCCAGCCCAGAUCCAAGGAACGAGCAUGCCCAGAAUACCUGAGCUCUGAGCGUAGUGCGGCCCAGCAGCGUGCGUCGGUUUGAAAGCUCGGCUCCAACCCAGCGGACUUCAGAAGCAGCGGGUGGCGCAGUUCCCCGCCCCCUCAGCCUUGUCCCCGCCCCAGACCCUGAGGCAGCAACUUUACCCAGAGGGCUCUGUGUGCAGUCUGUGAAGACCAGCAAGCUUUCCGGACCUUGGAGCAGGCCCGCCGCCCACAUGUCUACUCUGCUGAUCCAUCAUCCCCAGUAUGCCUGGCUGCAAGACCUGGGGCUCCGCGAGGAUAACGAGGGCGUGUAUAAUGGAAGCUGGGGCGGCCGGGGAGAGGUAAUUACGACCUAUUGUCCUGCUAACAAUGAGCCAAUAGCAAGAGUCCGACAGGCCAGCCUGAAGGACUAUGAAGAAACCAUCGGGAAAGCCAAGAAAGCCUGGAACAUCUGGGCAGAUAUUCCUGCCCCAAAACGCGGAGAAAUAGUCAGAAAGAUUGGCGAUGCCUUCCGGGAGAAGAUCCAACUACUGGGAAGACUGGUGUCUUUGGAGAUGGGGAAAAUCCUGGUGGAAGGAAUAGGCGAGGUUCAGGAGUACGUGGACGUCUGCGAUUAUGCUGCUGGCUUGUCGAGGAUGAUCGGGGGACCCACCUUGCCUUCUGAAAGACCCGGCCAUGCUCUCAUCGAAAUGUGGAAUCCCUUAGGCUUGGUGGGAAUCAUCACUGCCUUCAAUUUCCCCGUGGCUGUGUUUGGCUGGAACAAUGCCAUAGCUCUGAUCACAGGGAAUGUCUGCCUUUGGAAAGGAGCACCGACUACGUCCCUCGUUAGUGUGGCUGUCACAAAGAUCAUAGCCCAGGUUUUGGAGGACAACCUGCUGCCCGGUGCCAUUUGUUCCCUGGUUUGUGGUGGAGCAGAUAUCGGCACAACGAUGGCCAGAGAUGAGCGUGUGAACCUGCUGUCCUUCACUGGGAGCACUCAGGUGGGGAAGGAGGUGGCCCUCAUGGUGCAGGAGAGGUUUGGGAAAAGCUUGUUGGAGCUUGGAGGAAACAAUGCCAUUAUUGCUUUCGAGGACGCGGACCUCAGCUUGGUUGUUCCGUCAGUUCUGUUUGCCGCCGUGGGAACAGCUGGGCAAAGGUGUACCACUGUGAGGAGACUGUUUUUGCACGAAAGCAUCCAUAAUGAAGUUGUGGACAGACUGAGAAGUGCCUACUCACAGAUCCGUGUUGGGAACCCCUGGGACCGUCAUGGACCACCCUGGCAAUUACGUGGAACCCACCAUUGUGACCGGUCUUGCCCAUGAUGCGCCCAUUGUUCACCAGGAGACUUUUGCCCCAAUCCUCUAUGUCUUCAAAUUCCAGGAUGAAGAAGAGGUCUUUGAAUGGAACAAUGAAGUAAAACAGGGACUUUCAAGUAGUAUCUUUACCAAAGAUUUGGGCAGAAUCUUCCGCUGGCUUGGACCUAAAGGUUCCGACUGUGGCAUCGUGAACGUCAAUAUUCCUACCAGCGGGGCUGAGAUUGGUGGUGCGUUUGGCGGAGAGAAGCACACUGGCGGUGGCCGGGAGUCUGGCAGCGACGCCUGGAAGCAGUACAUGAGGAGAUCCACAUGUACCAUCAACUACAGCACGUCCCUCCCUCUGGCUCAGGGAAUCAAGUUUCAGUGAUACUGCGUGGGCUUGGCGUCCCUUAGCCAUUCCUGUGGCUGCUCGGAAGAAGCCUGAAAGGACCCUGACUUGCCCCGGAUAAAUGAUGGCUUUGAGUACGGACAGCAGUGUCUAAUCUCCAGUGAUUCCCAGACCCCUGUCUAAAUCAAGAUACUCAUUUAUCAAAAGUUCAAAAUUAAAUAUUCACAACCUAGCUGCAUUUAGCAAAAGAUAGGUUUGGUGAGUUUUUAUGUUACUAAUUACUUUUUUUAUUACAGCUAAUCAUUUCUUAGUGAAGUACAUGCCAUCAUAGGAGGUUGGGGCCAUGGAAAAUGCAAUAGGAAGGAAGAAGUCUUUGCAGUGGAGAAAUGUCUUCUAAGCAGUGCUGAAUCCUCAUGGUCCCGUCCUGGCAGGGGUUGAAGGGGAGAGGUACCCCCACAUGCUGGGGACCUCAGCACAGUUUCAUGUGCAUGAUUUGCAGUGCUCCAAAUGACAAUGGGCCAUUUUUGGGUGAGGUGAGGAACUUAACACUGUUGUGAAUGGUUGCUGGGAUGUGUCAACCCCUGGGUUCAAAUCUCAGUACCACCACAACAAAGAUAAUGCUCUAAAAAUAAUGCUCACCCAGUUAAGACUGCUCCUGACUGUGUCAGCCAGAAAGAAAUGUGCAGGGGUAGACAGACCUUCGUUCUUGUUCCAAACCUUGCUGGGAACUUAGGGACUGAAGUUGCUCGUGAAAGCACAUCUGGAUGCCCGAGUCACCUCAGGCUUCUGCAGCUGCUCAUGGGUUUCUCCUCUGGGAAGGUCACUGCUGAGAGGCUAAGGUCUCACUGGGAAGCUGUGCUGGGCCCAGCGGUCCCUGCUCUCCUGUGGUGCCGUUGCUCUGUACUUCUGUGUAGCAGUCACCACUGGGCCUGCUCCUGCCACAUCGGGCUCCUGGAGAAACCCUUAGGGAAUAGGACAUUGUAGGCCUCAUGAGUCGUCAUGGUGUGGAAAGAUUUGGACAAUAGUAAGAAAUCUGGGGGACUGACAGUGUGGGGAAGAAGCAGGGGGGACACUAAUACUAACAUAUUAAAUAAUAUGGUGAUAUACCUUUAUAUAAUUAAAUUUGUAGUAGAUUUGACUAUAAAAAUUAAAGGGGCUGUGAAUAUAGCUUGGUUAGGUAGGCUGCUUGCCACUCAAUGCCUGGGAUUCCAUCUCCAGCACUGCACUAAAUUCAUAUAAAUACAUGCAUUUAAGUCAGAUCUGUUAUAAAGCUGUAAAUGCGUGUUCAUACUGCUCCAUUGUCACCUGUGAGUAGGUAGCGUUGACCUGGUCAUGUCCUUGCCAUCGCUACGAACCAAGCCAGAUACUGAUGAUGGACCUGGGUGUUUGGGUGAGAACAGUGAGGGCAGGGAACAAUUCAUUUCCUAUGAAAAACCGACGGUGCCCCAGGUUACUAGUAAGAAACUGACGUGGCUUGUUAAGGUCUGGAGAUGGGCUCUGAAUCAUUGCUUACCACAAGGACACAUCACUCUUUUUCAUAACACACACCGAAUGCAAUGAGCUGUCCAGUGUCUGAUGCCUGCAUUAGAAUUUUUUUUUUUUUUCUUGAGGCAGGCUUCUGGUUUUGGCCAGUGAGAGCGUGGGUUUGUAGCCCUGUGUCACCACCCAGCUUUAUUCUUUAAAGCAAGAGAACAUGUAAUUUUGGAAAAAGUUAAAGAGGAAAAGGAAGUUGGAGAAUCAUGAACAGGAGUAUGGAGUGUCCUCCAUACCACAUAAAUGGGCACAGUGGCACACACCUGAGAUCCCAGCGUCUGAGAGGAUCGUGAGUUCUAGCCCAUCCUUUGAAACAUGAGAUCAUGUCAUGAUGAACAAAACAGACCAUAAAUACAGUCUGGAUCAUGCUGUAACCCUGGCUGGCCUUGAACUCCAACCCACCUGUAUCUGAUCCCAACCCCCACCCUCGCCCCCCACCCCCGCCCCCCACCCCCGCCCCCCUAGUGCUGGGAUUAGAAGUCUGCACCAUUCCACUUGGCCACUGCUCAUUUUGCUCAAAAAUACUUCACACUUUCAAAUAAAUGUUUAAGGAGCUAUGAUGAUGUGGCCACACAUGACAGUGACAUUGAUGCACAGUCUUCUGAAGGUGACAAGGAGCUAGAAUCUUAGCCAAAGCCGAUUCUGAAAGUUCCCUUUGAAAUUUCCUAAGUUUUAUGUGUUUCUAUCACAAGGCCUCUAUCUUUGUCAUAAUGGUUUUAUUAAACUUUUGCUUCUAA